AACGAACGCUGUCGGCAUGCCUAACACAUGCAAGUCGAACGAGACCUUCGGGUCUAGUGGCGCACGGGUGCGUAACGCGUGGGAACCUGCCCUUAGGUUCGGAAUAACUCCCCGAAAGGGGUGCUAAUACCGGAUAAUGUCUUCGGACCAAAGAUUUAUCGCCUUUGGAUGGGCCCGCGUUGGAUUAGCUAGUUGGUAGGGUAAAAGCCUACCAAGGCGACGAUCCAUAGCUGGUCUGAGAGGAUGAUCAGCCACACUGGGACUGAGACACGGCCCAGACUCCUACGGGAGGCAGCAGUGGGGAAUAUUGGACAAUGGGCGAAAGCCUGAUCCAGCAAUGCCGCGUGAGUGAUGAAGGCCUUAGGGUUGUAAAGCUCUUUUACCCGGGAUGAUAAUGACAGUACCGGGAGAAUAAGCUCCGGCUAACUCCGU
rnacentral:rRNA from 1 species